rnacentral:lncRNA from 1 species
ACAUACUCUUUCCAGCUGCCUCCCAAGCCAGCCCUACAGUCUGAUGAACAUUCUAGAGUAUGUGGACACAGAUGGACGCUCUGGCCACAGGCUGAUUUCACGGAGCGCUCAACCUGGCUUGUCCUUGCUUCCAUGUCUUGCCCCGGGGUCCUUCUUCUACUCUCUCCAGCUUCCCUUCUCCCUGUCUUUCAUGAUUUACAUCUAAAGGCUCUGGCUCUUAGGUUCCCUGGACUUCUCCACACAUCUCCUUCAUCCAGUGUGAUCCUCCCUACGGGUCUCUUCGCUGCAGCUCAGGCCCGCCAGUGAUUUAGUUCCUGAUCCUUCCAAAAUCUGGUCCCCCUGUUGUCUGCUUUCUCUUGAGAUGGCUUGCCACACCUAGGGCCAAACUCUAUCUUCCAGCAGCUGCAGAGGUCAAAAGCCUUGCAAAUGGAAGUCACAGAGGGGACGUGAAGGAAGAAAUGAAUACUGCAGACCAGGGGAGACCUGCCUGGGAUGGGAUCUAAGGGGACAUUACUACAUCUGCUGAGGGGGUCAUACCUUUGCCGACUGAAAAGUCACUGGUCAGUUCCUACACCCCAGGACUUCUGUGGCCCAGCUCUGCAUAUUAUCAGCGUAGGAUACUAACUAGCAGUGGCACCUAGGUGCUUGCUUGGUGGAUGAGCUUCAGAGUUCAGCUUGUUGACCUGGGACUCGGCGAUGUCCGCCCUCUCCUCCGCCUCAUCCAGCUCGUGCUGCACCUUGCGGAACUUGGACAGCCUCCAGCUCAUUCUCCAGCUCCCGGACCCGGGCCUCCAGCUUCUGCAGCUGCUUCUUGCCGCCCUUGAGGGCGAUCUGCUCUGCCUCGUCCAGACGGUGCUGCAAGUCCUUGAUGGUCUGCUCCAUGUUCUUCUUCAUGCGCUCCAGGUCGUCAUUGGCACGGACAGCAUCAUCCAGCUGGAUUUGAGUGUCCUGAGGAUCAGAAAAAUGAGUGGCCUCAUUGCGGCUGCGUGUCUCCGCAUCCAGGGAGGUCUGCAGGGAGUCCACCAUCCGCAGGUGGUUGCGCUUGGCCUGCUCCAUCUCCUCAUCCUUCUCUGCCAGCUUCCUUUCAAUCUCUGCCUUGAUCUGGUUGAACUCUAGCUGGGCGCGGAGGAUCUUGCCCUCCUCGUGCUCCAGGGAGGCCUGGAAAGGAUAUAGAUUUUGCAGGCAUAUAGUCAGAGACCAGGGUGGAAGCAAGGGUGUGUCUAAAAACCAUGGCACAGAGAGCAUUUGGGGAUGGUAUACAUGACUCAGUAGGAGAUGCAGUGGAAGGAAAUGAGAAAGAGUGUGCACAAGAGAAAUGAAAGCAAGCUGAAGAGAAGGGGAUGCAGACUCCCAGGGGGGCGGAGGGAGUCAGCUUUGAAGACAAAGAGGAAAAUGAAAAGUGUUGCCAAGGAAACAGAGGCAAUGAAGCAGAGAGUAAAGGAACAAAAAAAAAAAAACCACCACACACAGGCAGGCAGAGGUGGAAAGUGGAAUGAGCUGAAAUAGGAGUCUUUCUAAGGUACAGUAAAUAAAAUGUUUGUGUGAAGGAA